rnacentral:rRNA from 1 species
UACGAAGGGUGCAAGCGUUAAUCGGAAUUACUGGGCGUAAAGGGUGCGUAGGCGGUUCGUUAAGUCUGUCGUGAAAUCCCCGGGCUCAACCUGGGAAUUGCGUUGGAGACUGCAAGGCUGGAGUCUGGCAGAGGGGGGUAGAAUUCCACGUGUAGCAGUGAAAUGCGUAGAGAUCGGGAGGAACAUCAGUGGCGAAGGCGGCCAUCUGGGACAACACUGACGCUGAAGCACGAAAGCGUGGGGAGCAAACAGG